UAGUCACUUGGGAGACGUCCUGG
rnacentral:miRNA from 1 species